rnacentral:rRNA from 1 species
GGUGACCCGGACUUCGGUUCGGCGAUCAGUGGCGAACGGGUGCGUAACACGUGGGCAACCUGCCCCAGACUCUGGGAUAACCCCGGGAAACCGGGGCUAAUACCGGAUACUCCGGCCGUACCGCAUGACGCGGCCGGGAAAGCUCCGACGGUCUGGGAUGGGCCCGCGGCCUAUCAGCUUGUUGGUGAGGUAACGGCUCACCAAGGCGACGACGGGUAGCUGGUCUGAGAGGACGACCAGCCACACUGGAACUGAGAUACGGUCCAGACUCCUACGGGAGGCAGCAGUGGGGAAUCUUGCGCAAUGGGCGAAAGCCUGACGCAGCGACGCCGCGUGGGGGAUGAAGGCCUUCGGGUUGUAAACCCCUUUCGGCAGGGACGAAGCUAACGUGACGGUACCUGCAGAAGAAGUCCCGGCUAACUACGUGCCAGCAGCCGCGGUAAGACGUAGGGGACGAGCGUUGUCCGGAUUUAUUGGGCGUAAAGCGCGCGUAGGCGGCUCGGACAGUCGGAUGUGAAAAUCCGGGGCUCAACCCCGGNACCUGCAUCCGAUACUUCCGGGCUAGAGGUAGGUAGGGGNAGAUCGGAAUUCCUGGUGUAGCGGUGAAAUGCGCAGAUAUCAGGAGGAACACCGGUGGCGAAGGCGGAUCUCUGGGCCUUACCUGACGCUGAGGCGCGAAAGCUAGGGGAGCGAACAGGAUUAGAUACCCUGGUAGUCCUAGCCGUAAACGUUGGGUGCUAGGUGUGGGGGGNACAUCGACCCCUUCCGUGCCGAAGCUAACGCAUUAAGCACCCCGCCUGGGGAGUACGGCCGCAAGGCUAAAACUCAAAGGAAUUGACNGGGGCCCGCACAAGCGGCGGAGCAUGCGGCUUAAUUCGAUGCAACGCGANGAACCUUACCUGGGUUUGACAUGCAGGNUGAAAUCGUUGAAAGACGACGCUCUUCGGAGCCUGCACAGGUGGUGCAUGGCUGUCGUCAGCUCGUGCCGUGAGGUGUUGCCUUAAGUGGCGCAACGAGCGCAACCCCUGUCCUUAGUUGCCAGCGGAUCAUGCCGGGAACUCUAGGGAGACUGCCGGUGCCAAACCGGAGGAAGGUGGGGAUGACGUCAAGUCAGCAUGCCCCUUAUAUCCAGGGCUGCACGCAUGCUACAAUGCGCGAUACAGAGGGCUGCGAUCCCGUAAGGGGGAGCGAAUCCCAAAAAGUCGCGCUCAGUUCGGAUCGAGGUCUGCAACUCGACCUCG